GUGCCAGCCGCCGCGGUAAUACCGGCAGCCCGAGUGAUGGCCGAUCUUAUUGGGCCUAAAGCGUCCGUAGCUGGCUGCGCAAGUCCGUCGGGAAAUCCACUCGCCCAACGAGUGGGCGUCCGACGGAAACUGCACAGCUUGGGACCGGAAGGCUCGAAGGGUACGUUCGGGGUAGGAGUGAAAUCCCAUAAUCCCGCACGGACCACCGAUGGCGAAAGCACUUCGAGAAAACGGAUCCGACAGUGAGGGACGAAAGCCAGGGUCUCCAACCGGAUUAGAAACCCGAGUAGUCC
rnacentral:rRNA from 1 species